UAAAAGGGUCAGUUGGCUAAAUAUGCCACGCUCAUCCUGUAUGGCUAUCAAGACAUAUGGCUGACAUAAUUUGUGGACUUUUCAAAAAAAGAAAAAAACACAAAAACAAAAUUGAAGUUACUAGUAAACUUUGGCGUCUUUGCC